rnacentral:rRNA from 1 species
UGCCAGCCGCCGCGGUAAUACGGAGGGUGCGAGCGUUAAUCGGAAUUACUGGGCGUAAAGCGCACGUAGGCGGUUUGUUAAGCUAGAUGUGAAAGCCCCGGGCUCAACCUGGGAUGGUCAUUUAGAACUGGCAGACUAGAGUCUUGGAGAGGGGAGUGGAAUUCCAGGUGUAGCGGUGAAAUGCGUAGAUAUCUGGAGGAACAUUAGUGGCGAAGGCGACCGGCUGGGUCAAGACUGACGCUGAGGUACGAAAGCGUGGGGAGCAAACAGGAUUAGAUA